rnacentral:tRNA from 1 species
GCCGAAAUAGCUCAGUUGGGAGAACGUUAGACUAAAGAUCUAAAGGUCCCUGGUUCGAUCCCAGGUUACGGCA